rnacentral:lncRNA from 10 species
CUUCAGGAUGCCUCUGUCCCUCUGUGAGAAGCAGGGUUCCACUUCAUUAUCUCCAUAAUCAAACCUGGGGCUGCAUAAGAAGAGCACAACCACUCUCCAAGUGAUUUAACAGGAUGCUUUAAUGAUGUAUUGAGAAUGAACAUUGAUCCCAGAUGAGCAAAGCAAGGCUUAAAGAGCUAAGGAGACUGUGGGAAUGAAGGUUUCGAAGUGGUCUGAAUGGAGAAAGAAGCGGUGGGAGAGCUGAGUCAUCAUGCAGCACACGGCAAGGUAGCAGAAAACCCUGGAGAACAACAGCAGCCUGCCCCAGAGUCAGCCGUGAGCGCUGAUUUAGUUUCAGGAAAACAAUAACACUUUGUCCCAUUAAAUUAAUGUUGUUAAUUUGAAGUUUA